rnacentral:rRNA from 1 species
CAAUAGCGUAUAUUAAAGUUGUUGCGGUAAAAAAGCUCGUAGUUGGAUUUCUGUUGAGAGCGACCGGUCCAUACCAUGUAUGCGUAUCUGGCUUGCUCUCGGCAUCCUCUCGAUAGACGUUACUGCGCUUGAUUGCGUGGUGCGGAUCUCGGGACUUUUACUUUGAGGAAAUUAGAGUGUUCACGGCAGGCUUUCGCCAGAAUACAUUAGCAUGGAAUAAUACUAUAGGAUCUUGGUUCUAUUUUGUUGGUUUCUAGAAUUGAGAUAAUGAUUAAUAGGAACAAUUGGGGGCAUUCGUAUCAACACGUCAGAGGUGGAAUUCUUGGAUUGUGUUGCGACGAACUACUGCGAAAGCAUUUGCCAAGGAUGUUUUCAUUGA